GAUUUCUGGCUUGAAACAUUAAGCCGGCCACGGUUUCGUGUGUUAGUGCUUGAUGUUCUGGCCAUCCUUCCAAUCGCUAUUCAUCUUUCUUCAUUGAUGGGUGAGUGGUAUUGGAUCUUUUACUUUGAAAAAAUUAGAGUGUUUAAAGCAGGCUAUUGCUAUGAAUACAUUAGCAUGGAAUAAUAAUCUAGGACUUCGGUUCUAUUUUGUUGGUUUCUAUAACUGAAGUAAUGAUUGAUAGGGAUAGUUGGGGGUGCUAGUAUUCAGCGGCCAGAGGUGAAAUUCUCGGAUUCGCUGAAGACUAACUUAUGCGAAAGCAUU
rnacentral:rRNA from 1 species